rnacentral:rRNA from 1 species
ACGAACGCUGGCGGCACGCUUAACACAUGCAAGUCGAACGAGAGAAGAGGAGCUUGCUUUUCUGAUCUAGUGGCGGACGGGUGAGUAACACGUGAGCAAUCUGCCUUUCAGAGGGGGAUACCGAUUGGAAACGAUCGUUAAUACCGCAUAACAUAAUUGAACCGCAUGAUUUGAUUAUCAAAGAUUUAUCGCUGAAAGAUGAGCUCGCGUCUGAUUAGCUAGUUGGUAAGGUAACGGCUUACCAAGGCGACGAUCAGUAGCCGGACUGAGAGGUUGAUCGGCCACAUUGGGACUGAGACACGGCCCAGACUCCUACGGGAGGCAGCAGUGGGGAAUAUUGCACAAUGGAGGAAACUCUGAUGCAGCGAUGCCGCGUGAGGGAAGAAGGUUUUAGGAUUGUAAACCUCUGUCUUCAGGGACGAAAAAAGACGGUACCUGAGGAGGAAGCUCCGGCUAACUACGUGCCAGCAGCCGCGGUAAUACGUAGGGAGCGAGCGUUGUCCGGAAUUACUGGGUGUAAAGGGAGCGUAGGCGGGAUCGCAAGUCAGAUGUGAAAACUAUGGGCUUAACCCAUAAACUGCAUUUGAAACUGUGGUUCUUGAGUGAAGUAGAGGUAAGCGGAAUUCCUAGUGUAGCGGUGAAAUGCGUAGAUAUUAGGAGGAACAUCAGUGGCGAAGGCGGCUUACUGGGCUUUAACUGACGCUGAGGCUCGAAAGCGUGGGGAGCAAACAGGAUUAGAUACCCUGGUAGUCCACGCCGUAAACGAUGAUUACUAGGUGUGGGGGGACUGACCCCUUCCGUGCCGCAGCAAACGCAAUAAGUAAUCCACCUGGGGAGUACGACCGCAAGGUUGAAACUCAAAGGAAUUGACGGGGGCCCGCACAAGCAGUGGAGUAUGUGGAUUAAUUCGAAGCAACGCGAAGAACCUUACCAGGCCUUGACAUCCCUUGCAGAGGUAUAGAGAUAUAUCCGAGGUUAUCAAGGAGACAGGUGGUGCAUGGUUGUCGUCAGCUCGUGUCGUGAGAUGUUGGGUUAAGUCCCGCAACGAGCGCAACCCUUACUGUUAGUUGCUACGCAAGAGCACUCUAGCAGGACUGCCGUUGACAAAACGGAGGAAGGUGGGGAUGACGUCAAAUCAUCAUGCCCCUUAUGACCUGGGCCUCACACGUACUACAAUGGCUGUCAACAGAGGGAAGCAAAGCCGCGAGGUGGAGCAAACCCCUAAAAGCAGUCUUAGUUCGGAUUGUAGGCUGCAACCCGCCUACAUGAAGUCGGAAUUGCUAGUAAUCGCAGAUCAGCAUGCUGCGGUGAAUACGUUCCCGGGCCUUGUACACACCGCCCGUCACGCCAUGGGAGUCGGUAACACCCGAAGCCUGUAGUCUAACCGCAAGGAGGACGCAGUCGAAGGUGGGAUUGAUGACUGGGGUG